GUAUCCAACCUGCCGUCUACUCUUGGCCAGCCUUCUGAAAGGAAGAUUAAUCCAGGAUGGGAUCAUGAGUUCACAUGUCCGCAUGAUUAAAGGUAUUUUCCGGUAGACGAUGGGGAUGCGUUCCAUUAGAUAGUAGGCGGGGUAACGGCCCACCUAGUCUACGAUGGAUAGGGGUUCUGAGAGGAAGGUCCCCCACAUUGGAACUGAGACACGGUCCAA
rnacentral:rRNA from 1 species